rnacentral:rRNA from 1 species
AUACGGAGGGUGCAAGCGUUGCUCGGAAUUACUGGGCGUAAAGCGCGCGUAGGUGGUCUGUUAUGUCAGAUGUGAAAGUCCACGGCUCAACCGUGGAAGUGCAUUUGAAACUGGCAGACUUGAGUACUGGAGGGGGUAGUGGAAUUCCCGGUGUAGAGGUGAAAUUCGUAGAUAUCGGGAGGAAUACCGGUGGCGAAGGCGACUACCUGGCCAGAUACUGACACUGAGGUGCGAAAGCGUGGGGAGCGAACAGGAUUAGAAACCCCAGUAGUCC